rnacentral:rRNA from 1 species
UAGGGAAUCUUCCACAAUGGGCGAAAGCCUGAUGGAGCAACGCCGCGUGUGUGAUGAAGGGUUUCGGCUCGUAAAACACUGUUGCAAGAGAAGAAUGACAUUGAGAGUAACUGUUCAAUGUGUGACGGUAUCUUACCAGAAAGGAACGGCUAAAUACGUGCCAC